rnacentral:rRNA from 1 species
UACGUAGGUGGCAAGCGUUGUCCGGAAUUAUUGGGCGUAAAGCGCGCGCAGGCGGUCCUUUAAGUCAGAUGUGAAAGUCCUGGGCUUAACCUGGGGACUGCAUUUGAUACUGAUUGGCUUGAAUGCAGGAGAGGAUAGCGGAAUUCCCAGUGUAGAGGUGAAAUUCGUAGAUAUUGGGAAGAACACCGGUGGCGAAGGCGGCUAUCUGGACUGUGAUUGACGCUGAGGCGCGAAAGCGUGGGGAGCAAACAGG